GGAAGACCUGGGAAAUGAGAAGCAACUGAGGAGCCCAGGAAUUUUGGCUGGGCCCAUGGCUGCCCAAGAGUCGUCUACAUUUCUCAGCCUCCCUUGCAGCUUGCUGUGGCCGUGUCACCGAAUUCUGACCAAUUAGAUGUGAGUAGGAAUGACGUCUGCAAUUUCGGAGUUCCAUCCUUAAGGAAGCUGCUCGUCCUCUGUGUCCUCUUUUCCUUGUCCCUGCACUGGGACAGGGAUCGCAGAGCGGUGAGCCAGCUCUGACCAUGAGAGUGAGGACAACCACCUGGGGAAGAGAGAGCGACACAGAAGGAAAUUCACCUUCACUCACCACUCCCCCGGACGCCCAGAGCGACUUCCAGUCCUGCAAGCUCCACUCAUGGGGUCUUCUACCUCAUGGUUGAA